rnacentral:tRNA from 2 species
GCGCCCGUAGCUCAGCUGGAUAGAGCGUCGGUCUACGGAACCGAAGGUCAGGGGUUCGAAUCCCUUCGGGCGCG